ACUCCUACGGGAGGCAGCAGUGGGGAAUUUUGGACAAUGGGCGCAAGCCUGAUCCAGCCAUGCCGCGUGAGUGAAGAAGGCCUUCGGGUUGUAAAGCUCUUUCGGCCGGGAAGAAAUCGCAUUGGUUAAUACCUGGUGUGGAUGACGGUACCGGAAUAAGAAGCACCGGCUAACUACGUGCCAGCAGCCGCGGUAAUACGUAGGGUGCGAGCGUUAAUCGGAAUUACUGGGCGUAAAGCGUGCGCAGGCGGUUUUGUAAGACAGGCGUGAAAUCCCCGGGCUCAACCUGGGAACUGCGCUUGUGACUGCAAGGCUAGAGUACGGCAGAGGGGGGUGGAAUUCCACGUGUAGCAGUGAAAUGCGUAGAGAUGUGGAGGAACACCGAUGGCGAAGGCAGCCCCCUGGGUUAACACUGACGCUCAUGCACGAAAGCGUGGGGAGCAAACAGGAUUAGAUACCCUGGUAGUCCACGCCCUAAACGAUGCCAACUAGGUGUUGGGGAAGGAGACUUCCUUAGUGCCGUAGCUAACGCGUGAAGUUGGCCGCCUGGGGAGUACGGUCGCAAGAUUAAAACUCAAAGGAAUUGACGGGG
rnacentral:rRNA from 1 species